rnacentral:lncRNA from 1 species
AAAGGGUCUUUAUAAUUUCAAGCAGUUGCUUAAGCAGCGUGCUAGUGAGAAGGAGACUGGAGCAGCAUGAAGGACAGUGGCAGGCUGCUUGGUAUGUAGGCCAUUUGUGUUUGAGGCCAGAAGGUCUCACCAGAUACUCAGCUGAGCAUGAGCAGGCACAUUUAGGGCAGACUGCUAACAGGAGGGGGGCUUGAGUUCCUAGGUGCCCACAGGUAAGAGGUGUGGGUGCAGAGCAGAGGGUCCAAGAGCCAACAGCCUUGGUUACUCACAAUUGGGCUCUGGGUGUAUCAGGUGUCCCUCAUGCCUGAUCAGCAUAGUUCAUUCAGUCAUUCAACAAACACACAGAUCCACACAUGCUCGCUAUACAGUGUCAUGCUGCUCCUCUUAGGAGCGAGCCUUAUACAGGGGAAGGGCCAUGGUCGCCAAAGUCUCCAGGGCACCUGAGAGAGGUGAGCAUGGGGUCCUGCUGGUCUCAGGCUUAUGUGAGGCUCAGAUCUAGUUGAAGUACCCAGUGUAGCCCAUUUGUUGAGAAAAUGCUCCUCAUAACUUUGCCUGGAGGUAGGGUAGGCCCUGAGGCUGGAAGCUCCCGAGUUUCAUCCCCUUGAUGUCAAUCAAAGCUCAGUGUGAGUGAUCAGCCAAUAAAUCUGGUGCGAGUAAAUC